UGUAAAGAAACCCGGGAAUCAAACCCGGGCCGCCCGCGUGGCAGGCGAGUAUUUUACCACUGAACUAC